CACCAAUCACGGGGGUCAUCUCCUGCGCAAGCUUUGGAUGAACUUCUGCUUCUGCGGUCGGCAUUCUUACAGGAGAACCCAAGAUUCAUUGUACCUACCUGUAUGCAUUUCAAAACUGAAUAAUUGAUAGCAACAAGUAAAUAUUUGAAGUUGCAGCCAAAUGCUGUGCCUUCUCUGCUGCAAGAGCUACAUGUCACCAUUGAAGCAAGGACCAGCUCGACUCCUGCAGUAGGAGUCCAGCCUCGUCCAGUCGUCGCCGCUCGCCAAGACCAGCCGGACUCCUGCAAUAGGGGUCCAGGCUGACCCGUUCGUCCAGUAACCGCCGCUCGUCAGCACCAGCUGGGCUCCUGUAGUAGGGGUCCAGCCUCGUCCAGUCGCCGCCGCUCGCCAAGACCAGCUGGGCUCCUGUAGUAUGGGGCUAGGAUGGCCCGUUCAUCAACCGGUCCUGAAGUCACAUCGCCGUCAGCCAGCCGAACUCAGUACAUAAGUCACCAACCCUGAAUGUUGCCAGCCAAAGUCGGCAGUUUCCUUCGGACAGUCAUCUCACCAGUGUUGUACAGUGUACGAGGUUAGUGACGCAGUUAAAUGCGUCAAUUAAAUGCGAGGACGUGCGCUUGUAUGCAGCGUUUUGUCAUGUUGAGCUGCAUGGGUGUCGAUUUUCACCGAAUUGAGGGUGCCCACUGCCCGGGCGCAGCAAAUCCGCCGCUGCCUUAGCGGUGACCUUGACCCGCACCGUCUGUUGGGGCUCCAAAGCCAAGCCAGCCGAGCCGGCGGGGAAUCUAAAGAGCUUGAGCACCCCCAACCCGGCGGAAAUUGACACCUAUGUUGAGCUGUAUGGAUGCGUUUUAGCCUUCCGCCGUGGUGGUAAAUAGCAGCCUACAUGCAGAAUUAGGCAGGCUUAUUAGCGGACUCAUUAUUGGAUUCAUUGUGUCACGUUUGUCGGCACGUGUAAGAUGUGCUUAACUGCCAUUAGCUCUCGGCCUGGCGACUUCUGGGGACCACGUAAUGGGGAU